GACGAACGCUGGCGGCGUGCCUAAUACAUGCAAGUUGAGCGCUGAAGGUUGGUACUUGUACCGACUGGAUGAGCAGCGAACGGGUGAGUAACGCGUGGGGAAUCUGCCUUUGAGCGGGGGACAACAUUUGGAAACGAAUGCUAAUACCGCAUAAAAACUUUAAACACAAGUUUUAAGUUUGAAAGAUGCAAUUGCAUCACUCAAAGAUGAUCCCGCGUUGUAUUAGCUAGUUGGUGAGGUAAAGGCUCACCAAGGCGAUGAUACAUAGCCGACCUGAGAGGGUGGUCGGCCACAUUGGGACUGAGACACGGCCCAAACUCCUACGGGAGGCAGCAGUAGGGAAUCUUCGGCGAUGGGCGAAAGUCUGACCGAGCAACGCCGCGUGAGUGAAGAAGGUUUUCGGAUCGUAAAACUCUGUUGGUAGAGAAGAACGUUGGUGAGAGUGGAAAGCUCAUCAAGUGACGGUAACUACCCAGAAAGGGACGGCUAACUACGUG
rnacentral:rRNA from 1 species